ACAUGGCUCAGAUUGAACGCUGGCGGCAGGCCUAACACAUGCAAGUCGAACGGUAACAGGAAGCAGCUUGCUGCUUUGCUGACGAGUGGCGGACGGGUGAGUAAUGUCUGGGAAACUGCCUGAUGGAGGGGGAUAACUACUGGAAACGGUGGCUAAUACCGCAUAACGUCGCAAGACCAAAGAGGGGGACCUUCGGGCCUCUUGCCAUCAGAUGUGCCCAGAUGGGAUUAGCUUGUUGGUGAGGUAACGGCUCACCAAGGCGACGAUCCCUAGCUGGUCUGAGAGGAUGACCAGCCACACUGGAACUGAGACACGGUCCAGACUCCUACGGGAGGCAGCAGUGGGGAAUAUUGCACAAUGGGCGCAAGCCUGAUGCAGCCAUGCCGCGUGUAUGAAGAAGGCCUUCGGGUUGUAAAGUACUUUCAGCGGGGAGGAAGGUGUUGUGGUUAAUAACCACAGCAAUUGACGUUACCCGCAGAAGAAGCACCGGCUAACUCCGUGCCAGCAGCCGCGGUAAUACGGAGGGUGCAAGCGUUAAUCGGAAUUACUGGGCGUAAAGCGCACGCAGGCGGUCUGUCAAGUCGGAUGUGAAAUCCCCGGGCUCAACCUGGGAACUGCAUUCGAAACUGGCAGGCUUGAGUCUUGUAGAGGGGGGUAGAAUUCCAGGUGUAGCGGUGAAAUGCGUAGAGAUCUGGAGGAAUACCGGUGGCGAAGGCGGCCCCCUGGACAAAGACUGACGCUCAGGUGCGAAAGCGUGGGGAGCAAACAGGAUUAGAUACCCUGGUAGUCCACGCCGUAAACGAUGUCUACUUGGAGGUUGUGCCCUUGAGGCGUGGCUUCCGGAGCUAACGCGUUAAGUAGACCGCCUGGGGAGUACGGCCGCAAGGUUAAAACUCAAAUGAAUUGACGGGGGCCCGCACAAGCGGUGGAGCAUGUGGUUUAAUUCGAUGCAACGCGAAGAACCUUACCUGGUCUUGACAUCCACGGAAGAAUUCAGAGAUGAGGAUUUGUGCCUUCGGGAACCUGUGAGACAGGUGCUGCAUGGCUGUCGUCAGC
rnacentral:rRNA from 1 species